GACGAACGCUGGCGGCGUGCUUAACACAUGCAAGUCGAACGGAAAGGCCCUGCUUUUGUGGGGUGCUCGAGUGGCGAACGGGUGAGUAACACGUGAGUAACCUGCCCUUGACUUUGGGAUAACUUCAGGAAACUGGGGCUAAUACCGGAUAGGAGCUCCUGCUGCAUGGUGGGGGUUGGAAAGUUUCGGCGGUUGGGGAUGGACUCGCGGCUUAUCAGCUUGUUGGUGGGGUAGUGGCUUACCAAGGCUUUGACGGGUACCCGGCCUGAGAGGGUGACCGGCCACAUUGGGACUGAGGUACGGCCCAGACUCCUACGGGAGGCAGCAGUGGGGAAUAUUGCACAAUGGGCGGAAGCCUGAUGCAGCAACGCCGCGUGCGGGAUGACGGCCUUCGGGUUGUAGACCGCUUUCGCCUGUGACGAAGCGUGAGUGACGGUAAUGGGUAAAGAAGCACCGGCUAACUACGUG
rnacentral:rRNA from 1 species